rnacentral:rRNA from 1 species
AAGUCGUAACAAGGUCUCCGUAGGUGAACCUGCGGAGGGAUCAUUACCGAGUGGAGGGCGCUCCGGCGCCCGACCUCCCGACCCUUUGAUUUGAUCAAGACCUCCUUCUGCCUCGGGGGCGACCCGGCCUUCGGGCGGCGGUCCCCCGGCGGUACCCAACCUCAACCCUGCAUCAAUUGUCGUCUGAGCAUUGAAGCGAAUUCAAUCAAAACUUUCAACAACGGAUCUCUUGGUUCUGGCAUCGAUGAAGAACGCAGCGAAAUGCGAUAAGUAAUGUGAAUUGCAGAAUUCAGUGAAUCAUCGAAUCUUUGAACGCACAUUGCGCCCGCCAGCAUUCUGGCGGGCAUGCCUGUCCGAGCGUCAUUUCAACCCUCAGGCCCCGUAAUCUCUCGGGGCCUGGCGUUGGGGAUCGGCCCUGCAGCCCAGGCCGGCCCCGAAAUCCAGUGGCGGUCACGCCGCGGCUUCCUCUGCGUAGUAGAAACACCUCGCAUAGGGACGCGGCGCGGCCACGCCGUAAAGCGGGCGCGAGCCCAACUUCCUCAAGGUUGACCUCGGAUCAGGUAGGAAUACCCGCUGAACUUAA